GCCGGGCGCGGUGGCGGGCGCCUGUAGUCCCGGCUACUCGGGAGGCUGAGGCAGGAGAAUGGCGUGAACCCGGGAGGCGGAGCUUGCAGUGAGCUGAGAUCUGGCCACUGCACUCCAGCCUGGGCGACAGAGCGAGACUCUGUCUCAAAAAAAAAAAAAAAAAGACAGAGUCUCACUCUGUCACCCAGGCUGGAGUGCAGUGGUGCAAUCUCAGCUCACCACAACCUCUGCUUCCUGGGUUCAAGCGAUUCUCCAGCUUCAG
rnacentral:SRP_RNA from 1 species